CCCGGCUUUGUGUCAGUUUCUACCCCAAGAUGCCGCCCCAGAUCCGGGAUGGAGACCCAGACGCCCGCCCUCAGAGUGCAGCAGGACGAUUUGUUUCAAAGUCACAAACAGGUGCUCUGUAAUGUCCACUGGAUGGAUGGAUGAAAUGGGGUAAGAAAGAAAAUCCUUAGGAUCAUUCCUCAAAAAAACAAACAGCAGCCUAAAGCAGAAAAUGGAUGAAAUUACACACCUCCUGUGCUGUUUGAACCGCGUUGGUCUGGAUUUUCUUCUGUCUCUGCCACCCCCAAAGACAGCAACACCAACUCCUCCCUUCCUCCUCAUCCUUAGCCUACUCAAUGUGAAGAUGACAAGGAAGACCUUCAUGAUGAUUCACUUUUACUUAAUGAAUGGUAAAUAUGUUUUCUCUUCCUUAUGACUUUCUUAAUAACAUUUUCUUUUUCUCUAGUUAAGAAUAUAAUGCAUAUAUAAAACAUGUGUUAAUCAACUGCUUAUGUUACUGGUAAGACUUCCACUCAUUAGUAGGCUAUUAGUAUUGAGUUUUGUAGGACUCAAAUGUUAUAUACAAAUUUUCAAUUCUGAGGGGGGUCAGUAUCCCGACUGCUCCAUUGUUCAAUGGUCAAAUGUAUUUAUAUAUAUUGAAUAAACAUAUACAUGUACGUAUACUGAUACAUUCAUGUAUAUGUGAAAUUGUUAAAUAUCUUGGAAAAUACAAUUUACUACAACUGACUCCAUAGGAAAACCUAAAUAGUACUAUAAUCAUUAAAAUCUUCUGAAAAAAUACACUCCAAACACAGAUGAUUUUACAGGUGAUUCAAGGAAAUAUUCAAGGACCAGAUAAUCCCAAUCUUGCACAAAUUCUUCCAAAGAAUAGCAUAAGGGAGAAUACUAUUCAUAUUAUUUUAUGAUAAUACCAGCAUCAGAAAAGGAUAGUACAGAAAAGUAUAAUUACAUGCCAAUCUUAAAUCACACGUAUAAAUAUAAAUAUCCAAUGUUUACCUUUUGUAUCUAUAUCCACAUACAGAAAUUACUACAUAUUUACCACAAAAGGUUUAUUCCAAGAAUACAAAAUUGGUUUAAUAUCAGAAAUUAAAUACUAUACUUUACUAUGUUGUUAAUAUAGUUAAAGGAAAAAAAGUAUAUAUAUUCUCAACAGCUACAGGAAAAGCAUUUGAAAAAACAUCCAUUUAUAAUAAAAGUGCUUACCAAAAGAAGAACAGAAUUUUCUUAUGAUGGGGAAGACAUUUACAAAGUAACUAUAGCAAAUGUCAUUUUUAAGUUGACAUAAUGAAAUAUUUCUCAUUAUUAUCUUAAGGACAAAACAAGAUGCCCUUUAUUACUUUUAUUCAACAGUGUACUGGAGCUCCUAGUCAUUGUCAUAAGACAGAAAAAAUAAAUUGAAGGUAUGAGAAUUAGAAACGAAUAAACAAAAUUAUCAUUAUUUUCGGAUGAUAUGAUUGCCUAUGUAGCAAAUCUGAAAGAAGCUACAGGUAAAUUUAGAAUUAUUAAUUUUCUCAAGUUUGAUUGAUAUAUAAUUAAUAUAUAAAAGGCAACUGAAUUUCUGUAUGCCAGCAACAAUAAACUACAAAAUAUAACUUUUACAAAAGAAAAUGCUUACAAUAGCAGUAAAAAUAUGACGUGCCUAGAAAUUUAACAAAAACUGAGCCAAAAGAAAACAAUAAAAAAUAGUACAAAACAUUGAAGAUGACUUAAAUAGUGUCAUAUACCAUGUUCAUUGAGGAAAAGGGCCAAUGUCUUAGAAAUAAUUUCUGCCCAAAAUAAUUUAUAGAGUGCAAUGGUUUGAAUGUGUCCCUCAAAAAGCAGGUGUUGGAAACUUAAUCCCCAAUGCAAUGGUGUUAAGAGGUGGGCUUAAUGAGAGGCCAUCAGGUCAUGACAGCAGAGUGAAUGAAUUAAUGCCAUCACUGUAGGAGUGAGUUCAUUAUAAAAGGCGGCAUUCACCCUCCUUUUACACUCUCUUUCAGCCUUUCUCUGCCUUUAUGCCAUGGAAUGACACAGUAAGAAGGCUCUUUCUUGCCAGAUGCCAGCCACUCAAUCUUGGACUUCCCAGCCUCCAGAACUGUGAGCUGAUAAAUUUUUGUUCCUUAUACAUUACUCAGUCUCAGGUAUUCUGCUAUGGUAGCACAAAACAGACUAAGACACAGAGUUGAUCCAUUAUCAAUCAGAAUUCCAACAGGUUUAUUUGCUUGUUUGUUUCUUGUUUUGGAGAACUUGAUAAGUUUAUUUAAAUAUUUAUAUGGAAGGUCAAAGGUCCAAGUAAAGCUAAAACACUCUUAAAGAAGAAGAAACAGGUGAUAGGACUUUUCCUACCAAAUUUCAAGGCUUUUAAUAAAACUAUAGUGGUUAAAAAUUAUUUAGUAUUGAGGCAGAGUUAGACAAAUAGAAAAUAAGAAUGGGGGCUUAAAACGAAUUCAUGCUUAUAUGGAAAUCCUGAUUCAUGCAAAUCACUGGUGCUGGGGCAACAGAUUAUCCAUAUGGAAUAAACAACAUAAAAAUCAGUUUCCAUGUGGAUUAAGACUAAUUGCCAAAGGCAAAACUAUAACACUUUUAGAAAACGAUACACUAAAAUUAAUCUAUGAUCUUGAGAAAACAAUUAUCAAACAAGAAAAGCUAUAAAAGAAAGUACUACUAACUUGAAAUUAAAUUCAAAACUUAGAUUCAUUGAUAGAAACAGAGAAAGAAACAGAUAUAAAGACAUAGAGAGAAAGAAAACCUCAAAAGCAAAUUGGAAAGAUGUCUGUGGCAUAUAUAGCUAACAAUUACUGCUUCGUACCCAGAUUAUAUAAAGAAAGCAUUCCAAUGAGUCAAUAAAAAAGGUAAACAAACAAUCCAAUACAAAAAUGAAAGAGACAGGAAUCAGAAUUUCACAAAGAGAAAGCACUGAUCAACAUAUAAAAAGUCAAUCUCAUUAGUUAUGGAAAAUGCUAGUUAAAAUCACAGUUAAAUGCUAUUUCAUACCUGCCAGACUGACAAAAAAUGUAAUUUUACAAGACUAAGCUGUGGCAAGCAUGUAGAGCAACAAGAAUGCUCAUCCACUGCUGGAGGGAGUGCAAACUGGUUUAACACUUUGGAAAGUUUAGAAAUGACCCAAUAAAAUUGAAUACACAUAAAUCUUAUAACUCCGCAAUUCUACUCCCAGCUAUAUACUCUAGGGAAGCUCCCACACAAGUGUACUUGAAUAUUAGAGGACAUGGGCAGGCUUUAAAGUGGCCCCGAUAAUCCCUGCCUCCAGGUGUUCAUGUCCUUGUGUCACCCCCUUCCCUUCAGUGUGAGUUGGGCCUAGGGACUCACUUCUAAUGAAUAUAAAAUGGCAAAAAUAAUGGGAUGUCGCUUCUGAGGUUACAGAAAGAAUCUGACUUCUGUCUUUCUCUUUUUCUCUGUGGGAGCCUUCUCUCUGGGGGGAGUAAGCUGCCAUGUUGCAACCAUUCUUUAUACAGAGGCCCAUGUGGCAAAGAACUGAUGUGUACAGCCAGGGUCAGUGAGGCCAAUCGGCCUGCCAGCAGUCAUGUGAGUAAGCCUGGGAGAGGUCCUCGACCCUACGCCUAGCCUUGAGAUGACUGAGGCCCAGUCAAUACCUUGAUUGUUGAUACAGCUUGUGAGAGACCCUGAGUCAGAGACUCCCAGCUAAGCCCCUCCUGGAUUCCUGAUCACAGAAACUGUAAGAUAGGAGGUAACAGGACUUGUUUUGUUUGUUCGCUUUGGUUUGAAGCUGCUAGGUGUUGGGGUAAUUUGUUACAUAGCUUAUAGAUAAAUCAUACACCUCCAAAAGUAGAAACAAUCCAAUGUCCAUCAGCAGUAGAAUGGAUAAAUUAUGUACAUUUACACCUUAAAUGACGAAAACGAAAAUGGAAGGAAGCAUGAAAGAUGAAUCUAUAAAACUUAAGAAUACGUACAGGAUAAUGUCAUUAAUAUAAUGUCAUUAUAAUGAGAAAGCCAAUACAUAUGUUUUAGGAAUACACACACAAAUAUGGUAAAACUAAAAAGAAAAGCAAGGGAUUCAUUAAAUUAAGACAAAAAUCACGAAAGAUGUCACAUCUCAGAGAAUGGAGGAGAAUGGACCAUGGGCAUCAGUUGGGACUCAUGGGCUUCUAAGGUACUGUGACGCCCUAUUUCUUGACCCAAGGAGAUGGUCAGGCAUUCGUUUCAUUAUUUUUUAGACCAUUCUGAGAUAUUUCAUUUACUUUUUAUUCAACAUUUUAAAACAAAGUAUUGAAACCAAUUCAUCAACAAAUCACUAGUUUGGAGGAUGAAAGUGAUGGACCGAUGGUUGGCUGGUCAGCUAGACAGACACAUUCUGUCCUUUACGUCUAGUUCGAGCUGUACUUCUUCUAAAUUUCCAUGAUUAUCCAAUUGGCAAAGAUCUUUUUCUCCUGUACUUAAGGCCUUCUUCCGUUGCAGGUUGGGCCAAACUAGCGGCCAGCUCUCGGCUGUUUACCAGGGAACUGUAUCACCCAGCACUUGCUGCUUCAGGCCAAAUGCAUUCCAGACUAACAUUCAGCCUGAAUCCCCGCGCCGCUCUCACCGCCACCCCUCCCCAGGUCCCUUCCCCCACCACAAACCCACACUGCGCCCGUGGGCGCCUAGAGCACUGGGGUGGAUGAGAACUUCCACCUGGGCUUAACGGAGACAAGCUAGCCUAGAAGAAUGCAAGCCCCCAGCUGGCGAGAUCAAAUCGCCUCGAGGGUUCCUGCUAGCUCAGAUCUUAAUGGCUCCUUGCGGAGCAAAAAACAAAUCCUACGAAAAUAGGGGGGGUCAUCGCCUCCUGCCCAGCAGAGGGCAUAACAAUGCGGCGAGAAUGAAAUAGGCACCGAGCUGCAGAGAAAAAUCAUCAACGGGGUAGAGACGAAGGAAGGGAUCCUCGGUGGAACGGCUCUAUCACCUGGGGGCGCGCGCAGAGGCCGCAAUCCACGCCCGGCCCUCCCCAGACGCUAAACGUCGCACCCCGCCCACCGCUCCCCGCCCCGGA